UAGAAAACACAGCAGCGGCUUCUUCCCUCUUCUUUUCUCGGCGAUUCGCCGUACAAUUGGCUCGCCGGAGAUUCGCCGGCUUCGUCUCCUCCAUCUCAACUCUCGGUCACCGCACUGACCUCUUCUCUUUGGCGGUGGAGUCAUGGCGGAGCGAAUUCACCGGUGGGGCUGAGGCGUCGCCUCGGUGCUCGCGGUCUCGCCGCCCUCGUCCCGCUGCGUCGAUCGGUCAGCCGGUCCUCAAGGCGGAGCCGCCGUGCAGGGGUGCACGUGGCUGUCACGCCGCUUUGUUCUUUCCGUUGAGUUCCCCGAAGAGCAGCGGCUCUGGCCCACUCUCGACCUUCCUUUGACGGCGUCAACGCUGUCUCCGUCUCACACUGCUGCUCCAGCAGCGCCUCCUCCGCCGUCGGCCUCCAUCGCUGCUGCCAGCGCCCGACAUCAGCUCUAUGCGUCGAGUCCUCCGUCGCCGAAGGCCUAAAAGCUAAGUCCCUUUCCCCCUUUCUUUUUUUCCUUUAAUUAUUACUUAACUUUUCGGAGUUCUCGAUCGAUUAUUGCUUUCAUUACUUGGGGUGAUCAAAGGUGACAAUUUCUAGGUUCUUCUAAGUUCAUGCCAUGCAAAAACUGAUACUACUUCUAUGACCCUAAGUUCUUGUCCAACAUGAUAUCCUAUUAUGAUGCAAAGUAUGGGGUUGUGAGGUUUUUACCUCAGUUUGGUGAAUCCUCGUUUUGCCCUCUUGCUGCCGUCCGUUUCUCCCUCCGCCCGUCGCACUCCACGCCUGAGAAACUUGGGGGCCGAAAGAGUGUGAGGAGAGGAUGGGGCGAUGGCUGUAUUUAUAGGCCAAUUCCUUGGCUUCUUGUGGAAGAUUUUGGGGAGUGGAGCUUCUAUUUUGGGGCUGUAUCCUAACUCACUUUCGAGCUUGGUGUUUAUGCCUUUCUUACCAACUUGGUGUAAUCCCUGGGGAGGAAUCCAGACUUAAUCUGAUCCUUCUACUUUGGUAUGGAGGACAACUUCCUUGCUGUCCCUAGGAGGCUGUAGGUUGAUUUCUCUUGGCAUGGAGUGGGUAUGGAACCGAGAUGGGUGUGGAGAGAAUCCUCAAGGAUUUAUGGAGAUCAUGGCAUUUGUUUCUUUGCCUCUUUGUAGCUCUCUAUGUAAGAUAGCUUUUGUAAAGUAUAAAUUCUCAUCUCCAUUUUUUAGUUGCUAGUAAAUCCUAGAUUCUUGAGCUUCUUA